rnacentral:rRNA from 1 species
GCAAGUUGAGGAGAAUCGGAGACUUCGGUUUCCGAGGAGACUGGCGCACGGGUGAGUAACGCGUAGAUAACCUGCCUAUAUCUGGGGGAUAACCAUCCGAAAGGGUGGCUAAUACCGCAUAAUGCAGCGGGGCCGCAUGGCCACAGUUGUUAAAGCUUUAGGUGGAUAUAGAUGGGUCUGCGUGCUAUUAGUUAGUUGGUAAGGUAACGGCUUACCAAGGCGAUGAUAGCUAGGGGGUCUGAGAGGAUGAUCCCCCACACUGGGACUGAGACACGGCCCAGACUCCUACGGGAGGCAGCAGUGAGGAAUCUUGCGCAAUGGGGGAAACCCUGACGCAGCCACGCCGCGUGCCGGAAGACGGCCCUAUGGGUUGUAAACGGCUUUUAUUUGGGAAGAAUCUGGAGGUUUCGAUCUCCACUGACGGUACCAAUUGAACAAGCACCGGCUAACUCCGUGCCAGCAGCCGCGGUAAUACGGAGGGUGCAAGCGUUGUCCGGAAUCAUUGGGUGUAAAGGGUGCGCAGGCUGGCGCCUAAGUCGGAGGUGAAAUCUUGCCGCUUAACGG